AGAGUUUGAUUCUGGCUCAGGAUGAACGCUGGCGGUCUGCUUAACACAUGCAAGUCGAACGGGGGUCUUCGGACCCUAGUGGCGGACGGGUGAGUAACGCGUGAGAAUCUGCCCUCAGGACGGGGACAGCAGCUGGAAACGGCUGCUAAUACCCGAUGUGCCGAGAGGUGAAAUGUAAUUCGCCUGAGGAUGAGCUCGCGUCUGAUUAGCUAGUUGGUAGGGUAAGAGCCUACCAAGGCGACGAUCAGUAGCUGGUCUGAGAGGAUGAUCAGCCACACUGGGACUGAGACACGGCCCAGACUCCUACGGGAGGCAGCAGUGGGGAAUUUUCCGCAAUGGGCGCAAGCCUGACGGAGCAAGACCGCGUGCGGGAUGAAGGUCUGUGGACUGUAAACCGCUUUUGAUAGGGAAGAACACAAUGACGGUACCUAUCGAAUCAGCCUCGGCUAACUCCGUGCCAGCAGCCGCGGUAAUACGGAGGAGGCAAGCGUUAUCCGGAAUUAUUGGGCGUAAAGCGUCCGUAGGUGGUGAUGCAAGUCUAUUGUCAAAGCAUGAGGCUUAACCUCAUACCGGCAGUGGAAACUGCAUUGCUAGAGUGCGAUAGGGGCAAGGGGAAUUCCCAGUGUAGCGGUGAAAUGCGUAGAUAUUGGGAAGAACAUCGGUGGCGAAAGCGCCUUGCUGGGUCUGCACUGACACUGAGGGACGAAAGCUAGGGGAGCGAAAGGGAUUAGAUACCCCUGUAGUCCUAGCCGUAAACGAUGGAUACUAGGCGUUGUCCGUAUCGACCCGGGCAGUGCCGUAGCUAACGCGUUAAGUAUCCCGCCUGGGGAGUACGCUCGCAAGAGUGA
rnacentral:rRNA from 1 species